ensembl:rRNA 5S_rRNA 5S ribosomal RNA
UCUCUAGGCCAUACGACCCUGAACAUGCCUGAUUUUGGGAAUCCAAGCAGGGUCGGGCCUGGUUAGUACUUGGAUGGGAGAGUGCCUGGGAGUACCAAGUGCCGUAAAAA